rnacentral:rRNA from 1 species
UACAGGGGGGGCAAGCGUUGUUCGGAAUUACUGGGCGUAAAGGGUUCGUAGGUGGCCACUUAAGUCAGACGUGAAAUCCCUCAGCUUAACUGGGGAACUGCGUCUGAUACUGGAUGGCUUGAGUGCAGGAGAGGAAUGCGGAAUUCCAGGUGUAGCGGUGAAAUGCGUAGAUAUCUGGAGGAACACCGGUGGCGAAGGCGGCAUUCUGGACUGUAACUGACACUGAGGAACGAAAGCCAGGGGAGCAAACGGG